UUUAAUUUAAGGUUAGUCCUGCCCACUGAAUAUUUAAAUGGCCGCAGUAUUUUAACUGUGCAAAGGUAGCAUAAUCAUUAGUCUUUUAAUUGAAGGCUUGUAUGAAUGGUUGGACGAAGCAUUAACUGUUUCAUAUAAAUUGAUAUUUAAUUUUAUUUUUUAGUAAAAAAGCUAAAAUAUUUUUAAAAGACGAGAAGACCCUAUAGAUCUUUAUAAAUUUAUUAUUUUUAUUAUAUAGAUAAAUUAAAUUAUAAUAAUUAAAUUUAUUUUAUUGGGGUGAUAUUAAAAUUUGAUUAACUUUUAAUUAAUUAAUUCAUUAAUUUAUGUAUAAUUGAUCCAUUAUUGAUGAUUAUAAAUUUAAGUUACCUUAGGGAUAACAGCGUAAUUUUUUUAGAGAGUUCAUAUCGAUAAAAAAGAUUGCGACCUCGAUGUUGGAUUAAGAGAUAUAUUUGGGUGCAGCAAUUCAAAAAUAAAGUCUGUUCGAUGUAAUU
rnacentral:rRNA from 1 species